UACACUCUCUUCCAUUGCCAUUGCAUCUUUAACUUCUCCAGCAAAAUAUUGUAAUGGCUUUCACUUUAAUCUCUUCGCCAUCCAUUAAAUCUCCUAAUAUCUCCAUUCAUCUUCAAAAUCUCCCUCUUAAUUAUCUAAGCCUUUCAGCAUAGCUUAUUAAUUGCACAUAUGAUAAUACUUCAAAAUCCAAUAUGCUUAAAUAUAAGGUUUUUUUGUGGUUGAAUUACGAGCCAAUUAAAGAUAUCAGGACUUCUCUCAUUCUUUAAAGAUAAAAAUGAAUCCUUGCUCUGUUAAGGGUCUUCCUUGGCAGAUCUCACGUUUUUUUUCUUUGACGAUGAUUGUGCCUGUUACAAACGGUGUAUACUCUUGUUAAAGUUCGGGUUUUGUUCUUGUGCAGAAAGGCAGUACAUAUGACAGAAAAUUUCAGUGGUUCAGCAUUCAAUGAUGCAUACCUGGAGAACGCAGUAGCAUACAAGGCAAAUUUUACAGAGUCAUUUCAAGGCUGGGUAUCUUGUGACUGAAACCAUUGGUUUUCAAAGCAACAGAUUCUCGGGCAACUUCUUUAUUAAUCCGUGCCGCCUCUGUUCCACAACCUGGCGGGAAGCAUCGAAUAGCAUAUAUUCGUGUCCGACAUGGAUAACAUUUAGCUUUUGUCACCGCGGCUGUCUUCAUCAAGUUAUCAAUGAAGCUAACCUCACCAAUGCUGUGCUUGUUAGAUCAGCACUCACACGUAGUGAUCUUGGGGGUGCCCAGAUUGCAGGUGCUGACUCCAGUGAUUCUGUUAUCGACCUUCCACAGAAACAGGCUCUUUGCAAGUAUGCGAGUGGCACAAAUCCUACUACAGGGGUAAGCAACAGAGCAAGCUUAGGCUGCGGAAACAGCAGACGAAAUGCUUAUGGCACACCUUCUUCUCCCUGUCAAGCGCUCCACCUCGGAAAUUGCUGGGCCGCGAUGGUUUUUGUGAUCAAGGCACUGGUCUUUGCGAUGCGAAAUAGUUCCAAGGCAAAGUGAUCCCAAUUUUAUGAAUCGGAACAACUACUUAAAAAAAUAACAGAACAACAAAAGUUUAAGGGAGAGGCAAUUAACAUUUCCUUGCUAUUAAUGUUUUGAACCAAUUUUGAAGAGAAAUUUUCUGAAUUGCACAAGUAUCGAUCGAUAUAUGGCCGUGUUCUUUACCCCCUUGUUGUUAAGCCAUCAAUAUCUAGUCACAAAAGUUGAUUUUGUGAUCAAAAUAAGAACAAAGCAAAGAGCUGUACGUGAUAAAGUAGAUGCAGGCAGUGAGACAUGUACACAAAGUUAAGUAAUUAUGAAAGUUUCCAUGCUGUCUUCGUAUUGAGCAUUUAGUGCUUUCCUAAUCAAAUUGUUCCUUCGUAUUGUUUCCUUGCAA